UACAGAGGUCCCAAGCGUUGUUCGGAUUCAUUGGGCGUAAAGGGUGCGUAGGCGGUUGAGUAAGUCGGGUGUGAAAACUCUGGGCUUAACCCAGAGCCGCCACCCGAUACUGCUCUGACUUGAGUUCGGUAGGGGAGCAGGGAAUUCCUAGUGUAGCGGUGAAAUGCGCAGAUAUUAGGAGGAACACCGGUGGCGAAGGCGCUGCUCUGGGCCGAUACGUGACGCUGAGGAGCGAAAGCGUGGGUAGCAAACAGG
rnacentral:rRNA from 1 species